ensembl:lncRNA
AUGUGCUUGAUGUGCAUGCCUGUAAAGUGGGACACAUGUUGGGAUAUUGUUCACUGGACAGGGUUGUGUAAAAAAGCAUUCAAAUGUCACGCCCUAGGAUGCACACCUUCAAGAUCAGGGUCAACUCCAAGGAAAGGGAAGAGGAGACAGCAAGGAGAGUUGGAUUUUGGUUAUAUGUGCUAUAUUUUUCUCUUUAAAACACGUUUUUUUGUUUGUUUGUUUGUUUGUUUUUUACAGAGGAAAACAUGUUGCCUGGUAGGAUGCAGAUGGCACGUGAAUAGUCUCUGCAGCCUGGGUGUAUCUUCCACUGGGGCCUCAGGAGACACUAAACCCACAGAUCAGCAGGCUUCUGCUGCUCCAGGAGUCAACUCCAGGGUUUCUGGAUAUUAUUUCCUCAGGGAAACAUGGUCUCCUAGAGAGAUGAUAGUUUCAAAUAUGCAAAAGUUUCUAAUAAUUGUCCUGAAAAUGCAGGAUUCAUUUGAGGCAGAUGAUAGACACCAACCUAUGCUUGUAUUCGAGAUCAUCCUAAGAGCCAGGUAAUCAGCAGAGCCUAGUGGGGUAUGAACUCUACUGGGAUUAUUAGACAUUAGUUUGCAACAGUACUGACCCAAUAUUUUAUCCCUCAAGGAAUUAAACAGUUCCUGUAAAGCAGCCUGGAGUUUAUCUGACUAUUGGACCAGUCUUAUAUCAGUCUCCACUGGGGCAGGCUUUUUUGAGAGGGGGCAAUGGCGCCCCACUCCAGUACUCUUGCCUGGAAAAUCCCAUGGACCGAGGAGCCUGGUGGGCUGCAGUCCAUGGGGUCGCUAAGAGUCAAACACGACUGAGUGACUUCACUUUCACUUUCACUUUCAUGCAUUGGAGAAGGAAAUUGCAACCCACUCCAGUGUUCUUGCCUGGAGAAUCCCAGGGACGGGGGAGCCUGGUGGGCUGCGGUCUAUGGGUCGCACAGAGUUGGACACUACUGAAGCGACUUAGUAGUAGCAGUAAUAAUAGCUUUUAGCAGAAGCACUGUGUUGAUGUAAGUCAAGGUUCAGUUCUGAUAGUCUGAACUUGGAUCAGUUAUGUGAGAGAAACUUAUGUACUAGAAAUAUCUGUAGGAGGAAAUUUACCUUAAAUUUUCGCAAUAGUUAUUAAAUUUUUGUCCAGAAACUAUUGCCUGAGAAAAAUACACCAGAGUUGUUUAAUUUUCCCCAAGCAGCAGAAAACCGUGGCAUGGGGUGGAGGGGUCAGAAGUGACAGGUUGAAGAUAAUGUUAAGAUGUUGUCAUAGGACCAGGAAUGAGUUUUUUUAGUAUAGUUUUUUGUAAUGUACUUAUUUUCUAAUUGAAGGAUAAUUUUUUACAGGAUUUUGUUGUUUUCUGUCAAACAUCAACAUGAAUCAGCCACGAUUUGAUUCCAAGGGGAAGGGAGAAAGAGGAAGGGUGCUGAAGAACAGAAAUGUAUUUUGUCCUGACGCCUUGGGUGAAAGCCAUCUCGUGGGCUCUCUUUCUUUGAUUAAAGAGAGGAAGGCAGCAGGACCAUGGCUACCAGACAGGUGUUAGUCCACUGGUUUUUAUUUAAUACCAAGUCCUUUGUGAGGCAUCCAUGGGACACGUGUUACUAGGAUGUGUUUCCCAGCCUCCAAAAAUUGAAGAGACUCAAAGCAGACAGAGGAUAUCAAUGUGUUUUAUCAUCUUCAAUGUCUGAGAGAGAAAAAGAGACAUGUGUCUCUACUGCUGGGUAGAGAAGGUUGAAGAAUGAAUGAUGCAGGAGAAAAGAUAAGCUCUCAAAGAGCUGGGUUUCUGUGUCCGGGUGAGCACCCUCACUCAACAAUCGCUGUGUACAUUUAGGGGUAAGCGGUAACCAGCACCCGGCCCUGACCUCGUGGGCGGCCUCGGGGGGCGAAUCACUAAGACUUCUCCCCUGCUGCCCAAGUGCUUUGGUGCCGACACAGGAGCCGUCGUCAGCGAAGCCAGUGCGCACGCACCACGGAAAGCCCGGGUGUGCGCGUGAUGCUUAGGAAAGUGCAGUCAGGGUGAUGCUGCUGGUGCUGCUCCGAGGACUGUGCUUCUUGCUGAUUCUCUGUUGUGCUUGGUAACUGUGCUGAUUAGAUUUCACAGCUGUCUUGUCUCAAAUGCUGUCCCUUUAAAACUGCUGUGCUUUACAAUAAAGAUGGAACGCGAUAAGAACCGGCUGAUGAG